CCUGGUACUGGGGUUACAUGCAUAAAAUACCUGACAGUGGCACGUGGUUAUUUUUUGGGGGGAAACAAACAAACAAACAACAUUAGGUUUCUCAUCACUGAUAUCCCUUUCUGACUUUCACAUUCCAGGUGGGUACCUCAGCCCAGCAUUCUGGAAGGUUUCCACUUUGGAGAGAUCUUUCCCAGAUGAUGACCUUCAGCUUUAUUUCAGCUCUGCUUUCUCCAUCCUGCACUCCACGGGGUCGUUCCAUGCUCUGCCUGCACCGCACCUCACAUCCAUCUUCGCCACGUGGGCUGCUUGCUCCGCUCGCUCAGGAAACCCGCUGCUGGUGGAGCAGCACUCGGCCAGGACCAGGGGCAGAAUUUCUCCCCGACCUUUACACAAGCAGUGUCACCUGCCUUAAGUAACAAAGCAGCCCUGGUUGAUUGUCACAUUUAAGGCUGCAUCCCCACAGCGUGUUCCUGACAGCACCCGGCCGUGAGGAGCAACCGUGUCGGUCUGGAAACCAAGCUGAAUGGAUACACACGCAGUGGCACUAGCAGUGAUUUUAACCCAUGGAAAGCCAAGGCUUUUCAUACUGCUUUUGCUCACCCAGGCUAUU